ensembl:scaRNA
GGCUUAAGAAUACUUGUCUGCUCCACCCUUGAGGAUCAUUGUUGGGGCUUCCACGAGUUGGCAGCCUUGUCUUCCUGCCUCAGACAUCU